UAAAAAGCAAGAAACAUUUUCAUUUUCCUAGUUCAAAUACUUCAAAGAACAGAAGCUUAAUUCCAUCCAAAUUUUGCAGUUCUAUAGGAAUACGGUGUAAUCUUCUCCAAGAAUAUCAUACGGAGUUUUCGCUACUCCAGGUGUAGAUAGGCGAGGUGAGGACCACCCACUGUAGGCUGUCUCCAGAUAUCAACUCUUGGUUAGUGAGCUCCACAUCUUCCUGGAGUACUUCCAAGUCACAUUCUAUAUAUGUUACUUUGUUUUAUGAAGAUGUCGGGGACACUGUCCCGACUUAUAUUAUGAUCAUGUUUUCUUAGAGGUUUGGCAAACAGUGUCCUGUGUAUAGCUUUAGGUACGACAUGUCAGCGUCCUUGUCGGGCCCUAUGUUUCUAUAUAAAUAUUUUUGAAUUA